UGAUCCUGGCUCAGGAUGAACGCUGGCGGCGCGCCUAACACAUGCAAGUCGAACGGCACCCCUCUCCGGAGGGAAGCGAGUGGCGAACGGCUGAGUAACACGUGGAGAACCUGCCCCCCUCCCCCCGGGAUAGCCGCCCGAAAGGACGGGUAAUAUCGGAUACCCCCGGGCGCCGCAUGGCGCCCGGGCUAAAGCCCCGACGGGAGGGGAUGGCUCCGCGGCCCAUCAGGUAGACGGCGGGGUGACGGCCCACCGUGCCGACAACGGGUAGCCGGGUUGAG
rnacentral:rRNA from 1 species